rnacentral:rRNA from 1 species
UGGGGAAUAUUGCACAAUGGGCGCAAGCCUGAUGCAGCCAUGCCGCGUGUGUGAAGAAGGCCUUCGGGUUGUAAAGCACUUUUGGCAGGAAAGAAACGUCGCGGGUUAAUACCCCGCGAAACUGACGGUACCUGCAGAAUAAGCACCGGCUAACUACGUGCCAGCAGCCGCGGUAAUACGUAGGGUGCAAGCGUUAAUCGGAAUUACUGGGCGUAAAGCGUGCGCAGGCGGUUCGGAAAGAAAGAUGUGAAAUCCCAGAGCUUAACUUUGGAACUGCAUUUUUAACUACCGGGCUAGAGUGUGUCAGAGGGAGGUGGAAUUCCGCGUGUAGCAGUGAAAUGCGUAGAUAUGCGGAGGAACACCGAUGGCGAAGGCAGCCUCCUGGGAUAACACUGACGCUCAUGCACGAAAAGCGUGGGGAGCAAAACAGGAUUAGAUACCCUGGUAGUCCACGCCCUAAAACGAUGUCAAACUAGCUGUUGGGGCCUUCGGGCCUUGGUAGCGCAGCUAACGCGUGAAGUUGACCGCCU